rnacentral:rRNA from 1 species
UACGUAGGGGGCAAGCGUUGUCCGGAAUCAUUGGGCGUAAAGAGCGUGUAGGCGGCCCGAUAAGUCCGCUGUGAAAGUCCAGGGCUCAACCCUGGAAUGCCGGUGGAUACUGUCGGGCUCGAAUCCGGAAGAGGUGAGUGGAAUUCCUGGUGUAGCGGUGAAAUGCGCAGAUAUCAGGAGGAACACCUGUGGUGUAGACAGCUUACUGGACCAUUUCUGACGCUGAGACACGAAAGCGUGGGUAGCAAACAGG